CCUACGGGGGGCUGCAGUCGAGAAGCUUCCACAAUGGACGAAAGUCUGAUGGAGCGACGCCGCGUGCGGGAUUGAAGGCCGUGAGGUUGUAAACCGCUGUCAGCAGGGAAGAAGGCCCGGAUGGUGAAUCCGGGAGAGACGGUACCUGCAGAGGAAGCCCCGGCUAACUCCGUGCCAGCAGCCGCGGUAAUACGGAGGGGGCAAACGUUGUUCGGAAUCACUGGGCGUAAAGGGUGCGUAGGCGGUUCGGUAAGUCUAAUGUGAAAUCUCUCCGCUCACCGGAGAAACUGCAUUGGAAACUGCUGGGCUCGAGAGUGGGAGAGGCAGGUGGAAUUCCAGGUGUAGCGGUGGAAUGCGUAGAUAUCUGGAAGAACACUCGUGGCGAAGGCGGCCUGCUGGCCCAUUUCUGACGCUGAGGCACGAAAGCCAGGGGAGCAAACGGGCUUAGAUACCCCUGUAGUC
rnacentral:rRNA from 1 species